rnacentral:rRNA from 1 species
UACGGAGGGUGCAAGCGUUAUCCGGAUUCACUGGGUUUAAAGGGUGCGUAGGUGGCUAUUUAAGUCAGUGGUGAAAGCCCGCGGCUCAACCGUGGAAUUGCCAUUGAAACUGAGUAGCUUGAGUACAGUUGAAGUGGGCGGAAUAUGUCAUGUAGCGGUGAAAUGCUUAGAUAUGACAUAGAACACCGAUUGCGAAGGCAGCUCACUAAGCUGUAACUGACACUGAGGCACGAAAGCGUGGGGAUCAAACAGG